rnacentral:rRNA from 1 species
CGCUGGCGGCGUGCCUAACACAUGCAAGUCGAGCGGGGUCCAUCCGGUAGCAAUACUGGGGAAGACCUAGCGGCGAACGGGUGAGUAACACGUGAGAAACCUGCCCCGAAGUCUAGGAUAACCCGAGGAAACUCGAGCUAAUACCGGAUGCCUUCUCUGAUCGCAUGGUCGGAUGAAGAAAGAUUUAUCGCUUCGGGAGGGUCUCGCGGCCUAUCAGCUAGUUGCGGGGUAACGGCCCACCAAGGCGUCGACGGGUAGCUGGUCUGAGAGGACGAUCAGCCACACUGGGACUGAGACACGGCCCAGACUCCUACGGGAGGCAGCAGUGGGGAAUAUUGCGCAAUGGGCGAAAGCCUGACGCAGCAACGCCGCGUGCGGGAUGAAGGCCUUCGGGUUGUAAACCGCUUUCAGUGGGGACGAAUUCAGACGGUACCCACAGAAGAAGCCCCGGCCAACUACGUG